rnacentral:sRNA from 1 species
ACGUUUCUUCUUCUUCUUCUCUCUCGCAA